AUUGAACGCUGGCGGCAGGCCUAACACAUGCAAGUCGAGCGGAGCGGCGGACGGGUGAGUAAUGCAUAGGAACGUGCCUGGUAGUGGGGGAUAACGUCGGGAAACGGUCGCUAAUACCGCAUACUAUCAGAUGAGCCUAGAUCGGAUUAGCUAGUUGGUGGGGUAAAGGCCUACCAAGGCGACGAUCCGUAACUGGUCUGAGAGGACGACCAGUCACACUGGAACGGAGACACGGCCCAGACUUCUACGGUAGGCAGCAGUGGUGAAUUUUGGACAAUUGGCGAAAGCCUGAUCCAGCCAUGCCGCGUGUGUGAUGAAGGUCUUCGGGUUGUAAAGCACUUUAAGUGGGGAGGCGGUACCAGCAGAAUAAGCACCGGCUAACUUCGUGCCAGCAGCCGCGGUAAUAC
rnacentral:rRNA from 1 species